rnacentral:tRNA from 1 species
GCAAAGGUAAACUAAGUUUAAGUUGUUUGGUUCAUAACCGAAUAAUAGGAUAAUUUCUUUCUUUGUA